GUAGUCCACGCUGUAAACGAUGGGCACUAGGUGUGGGAGGUGUCGACUCCUCCCGUGCCGGAGCUAACGCAUUAAGUGCCCCGCCUGGGGAGUACGGCCGCAAGGCUAAAACUCAAAGGAAUUGACGGGGACCCGCACAAGCAGCGGAGCAUGUGGUUUAAUUCGACGAAACGCGAAGAACCUUACCUGGGCUUGACAUGUGCCUGAUCGCCGUGGAAACACGGCUUCCCUCACGGGCAGGUUCACAGGUGGUGCAUGGCUGUCGUCAGCUCGUGUCGUGAGAUGUUGGGUUAAGUCCCGCAACGAGCGCAACCCCCGUCGCAUGUUGCCAGCAUUUAGUUGGGGACUCAUGCGAGACUGCCGGUGACAAACCGGA
rnacentral:rRNA from 1 species